UCUGUGCCAAAACUUGUGGCUGUUAGCGUAAAUUAAUUUAGUAGUAAACUAAUAAGGAUAUGUCAGGGCUUCCAAGCCCAAUUCAAGGUGCUGUUCUUGACCUUUCAAGACCUUCAUGGCAUGGGACUGGGUUAUUUGAGGAACUGCUCUCCUUGAUUACAUCUGCCCACCCCAUCACAUCUGAAAUAAAUCUUAAACUGCUUUCUGUGAAGGAAAAUAAAAGUCUCAGGAAUCCUAUGACUGAUUACCAUCAGGAUAUGUUGAUAUCCAAUGAGACAGAGGAAGAACUUUAGGGGAAUUGUUUCCUGACUGGAGGAGCAAGAAGUCUCUCUGUUAUGCCUUGAUGGACUUAUUAAGGUACUAUUCUAUCGGCUCCUGCCUGAGUUUCUCUAGCUCUCCAACAGAGAAUGAAAGAGAAUGCAAGGUGUCAGUCACAAGACAAAUCCCAGGGACACUGAGGGGAAAAAAAAUGGAAAGAUUGCAUCUUCUAUCCACCUCCAUUUUUAUGCUGCAGGUGAUAAAGACAAAGAAGCAACUAAUAAAGGGCAGAGUUUUCACCUUUCUUCAAAAAUAGCAUGGAAGCCAUCUGGCUCAC